AUGGCGGCCGUGGGGACGCCGCAGGAACCGUACGCGCCCAAGCCGGCGGCCGAGGGGAGGGGCUACUGGCGGUGGCACAGGGACGAUUUCUUCCCGGAGCCGUCGUUCGCGAGCUGGGGCGCGUACCGCUCCGCGCUGGCCGCGACCCCCGCGAGGCUCCGCGACCGCUUCACCGGCCGCUCCACCGACGCCAUCGAGCUCGGCGCGCUGCGGCGCCGCAGCGAGAACGAGAUGCGCCGCUGCCUCACGUGGUGGGACCUCACGUGGUUCGGCUUCGGCUCCGUCAUCGGCGCCGGGAUCUUCGUGCUCACCGGCCAGGAGGCGCACGACCACGCCGGCCCCGCCAUCGUGCUCUCCUACAUCGUCUCUGGCCUCUCCGCUAUGCUGUCCGUGUUCUGCUACACCGAGUUCGCCGUCGAGAUCCCCGUGGCCGGCGGCUCCUUCGCGUACCUCCGCGUCGAGCUCGGCGACGUCGCGGCCUUCAUCGCCGCCGCGAACCUUAUCCUCGAGAGCAUCAUCGGCACGGCCGCGGUGGCGCGCUCCUGGACGUCCUACUUCGCGUCGCUCAUCAACAAGCCGGCGAGCGCGCUGCGCAUACAGACCUCGCUCAAAGACGGGUACAACGAGCUUGACCCCAUCGCGGUCGUGGUGAUCGCGGUCACCGCCACCAUGGCCAUCCUGAGCGCCAAGGGCACUUCCCGGAUCAACUGGGUGGCGUCCGCGAUACACGUGGUCGUGAUAGCGUUCGUCAUCGUGGCAGGAUUCAUCCACGCCAACCCGAGCAACCUGACCCCGUUCAUGCCGCACGGCGUGCCGGGCGUGUUCCAGGCGGCGGCGAUCGUGUACUUCGCCUACGGCGGCUUCGACAACAUCGCGACGAUGGCGGAGGAGGUGAAGAACCCGUCGAGGGACAUACCGCUGGGGCUGCUGGGGUCCAUGUCGGUGAUCACGGUGAUCUACUGCGUGAUGGCGCUGGUGCUGAGCAUGAUGCAGCCGUACACGGCGAUCGACCGGAGCGCCGCCUACUCGGUGGCGUUCAGCAGCGUGGGGAUGCACUGGGCGCAGUACGUGGUGGCGCUGGGCGCGCUCAAGGGGAUGACGACGGUGAUGCUGGUGGGCGCGCUGGGGCAGGCGCGGUACACGACGCACAUCGCGCGGAGCCACAUCAUCCCGCCGGUGUUCGCGCUGGUGCACCCCAGGACCGGCACGCCGGUGAACGCCAACAUACUCAUCGCCGCCGCGGCCUGCUGCAUCGGCUUCUUCUCCAGCCUCGACGUGCUCUCCAGCCUGCUCUCCAUCAGCACGCUCUUCAUCUUCAUGAUGAUGGCCAUCGCGCUCCUGGUCCGGCGGUACUACGUGAAGGGCGUGACGACGCGGUCGCACGCGCUGCGGCUCCUGGUGUUCGUGCUGGUGAUCAUCGCCUCGUCGGCGGGCAUCGCGGCGUACUGGGGCACGACGCCCGGCCGGUGGGAGGGUUACGUCGCGCUGGUGCCGGCGUGGCUGCUGGGGACGCUCGGCAUCCAGAUGAUGGUGCCGGCGGCGCGCGCGCCCAAGGUGUGGGGGGUGCCGCUCGUGCCCUGGCUGCCCUCGCUCUCCAUCGCCACCAACCUGUUCCUCAUGGGCUCGCUCGGCUCGGAUGCCUUCGUCCGCUUCGGCGCCUGUACCGCCAUCAUGCUCAUCUACUACGUCCUCGUCGGCCUGCACGCCACCUACGACGUCGCCCACGAUGUGUGCAGCGAAGACGAGCUAAAAGACUACGGCGACGCCGCUGAUGAUGCUGCUGAUGAGAAGGCGACGGCGAAAACGGCCGACGUCGAGAGGGCUAGCGCGGGAGACGGCGGCCGCUAA
rnacentral:rRNA from 1 species